rnacentral:rRNA from 1 species
GAAUAUUGGACAAUGGGGGGAACCCUGAUCCAGCCAUGCCGCGUGUGUGAAGCAGGCCUUUUGGUUGUAAAGCACUUUAAGCGAUGAGGAGGCUACUUAGAUUAAUACUCUAGGAUAGUGGACGUUACUCGCAUAAUAAGCACCGGCUAACUCUGUUCCAGCCGCCGCGGUAAGACAGAGGGUGCAAGCGUUAAUCGGAUCUACUGGGCGUAAAGAGCGCGUAGGUGGCAAAUUAAGUCAAAUGUGAAAUCCCCGAGCUUAACUUGGGAAUUGCAUUCGAUACUGGUUGGCUAGAGUAUGGGAGAGGAUGGUAGAAUUCCAGGUGUAGCGGUGAAAUGCGUAGAGAUCUGGAGGAAUACCGAUGGCGAAGGCAGCCAUCUGGCCUAAUACUGACGCUGAGGUACGAAAGCAUGGGGAGCAAACAG